AGUCCCGUAGUGUAGCGGCCAAUCAUUUGGGACUCUGGAUCCCAAGACGGCGGUUCGAAUCCGCCCGGGACUA
rnacentral:tRNA from 1 species